CCAGGGUGACGACAACUCCGUGAGGGUGGAGAUUAUAUGUCUCUCAUCAUUUCGGCAACAAGGAAAUAAAUUAGUGGCAGAGUAAGGGUGACUUGAGAUCUCCUGGAAGCGAGGAUCUUUUAAAAAUCCUGGAAUAUACACUGCAGUAAAAGAACAAAGCAUACCUCAGCCUUAAACUACUGAAGAAGAAUGUCAAGUGGGGAAGUGGCUUUGGUUUUGAGUUUGUGGGUUCUGAAUCCACACAAAGACAGGACUGCAUUCUGAAAACCUGAAUUAAUUAUUGUCCUUACCUCAAUAAGACAAAAAAUUAUAAUCAAAAUCAUUAGUAUUACAGUCACAGAUAUUGCCAAGAUGAGUCUGUUGUUAUAGCCAUAUCCUGGAACUUCUUUCGUGAGCUAAAAAAAAAAAAAAAGGAAAAAUUAAAAAAAAAAAAA